rnacentral:rRNA from 1 species
GACGAACGCUGGCGGCGUGCUUAACACAUGCAAGUCGAACGGAAAGGCCCUGCUUUUGUGGGGUGCUCGAGUGGCGAACGGGUGAGUAACACGUGAGUAACCUGCCCUUGACUUUGGGAUAACUUCAGGAAACUGGGGCUAAUACCGGAUAGGAGCUCCUGCUGCAUGGUGGGGGUUGGAAAGUUUCGGCGGUUGGGGAUGGACUCGCGGCUUAUCAGCUUGUUGGGGGGGUAGUGGCUUACCAAGGCUUUGACGGGUAGCCGGCCUGAGAGGGUGAACGGCCACCUGGGGACUGAGAUACGGCCCAGACUGCUACGGGAGGCAGCAGUGGGGAAUAUUGCAGAAUGGGCGGAAGCCUGAUGCAGCAACGCCGCGUGCGGGAUGACGGCCUUCGGGGUGUAAACAGCUUUCGCCUGUGACGAAGCGUGAGUGACGGUAAUGGGUAAAGAAGCACCGGCUAACUACGUG